GUUUUUGUAGUUGAAUAACAACAAUGGUUUUUCGUAUCAUAGGUUUUGGUUAACACAAGUAGGCCAGACAAAAAUA
rnacentral:tRNA from 1 species